rnacentral:lncRNA from 1 species
AUGCCCCAUUCUGUUGGGACUCUCUUCCUUGUCUGUAAAACUCAGGCAUGUUCCAUGGAGCUGUGUGUUCAUUCUGCUCUCUCUGCACAGUUCCGUGUACCACACAUUUGUACCUCUUAUGGGACAAGAUGUGUAUGUUCUUUCCACUUGGCUACAAAGUGUGCUGCUGUGGACAUUGUGAAGGGUCUUUUGGUGAGCAUCCGUGCACGCUUCUGUUGGUCUGUGCCUCAAGUGGAAGAGGUGGCCCUUCGGGUCAGUAUUGCUGUGUCUGUGUCCACUUGCAAUGGACUCUGGCAGAUCUCCAAGGUCUACGACUGGUGCUUUUAAUAUUACUGCACUUCAUCUUUAUGGAUAAUCAAGAACGUGCAUGAAACCUUCAUUCCCGGCACAGAAGGAUAAUUGCUCAGUGAUCAUUUGCUUUCUUUAAAACAUAACUGAAUAUAAACUAAGAAACUAAGAGAAGGAGCUAUUUUUAAAAGUGGCGUUGAAGUCAUCCAUGAAAUCAAAUGGCAUAUGAAAAGCGCACUCCCCCUGGUGUUGCCAACUGCCUGGCACCUUGUGCUCACUGUGGACUUACCUAGCUCCCCUGUUGGGGCACAGAGCCGCAGCCAGCAGCUUGCUCGUCACUAGGGAUCUGACCCUGUCCGAGAGAUGGCGGAGCAGCCGGCAGUGUGAGGGGGCGUGCUCGGUCCCGGGGUCACUGGCCUCCACGCCUCUCAGCUACCUGCACCUGCUGCAGUUUUCACUCGCCUGUGAUUUGUUGCUCUUUGUUUCAGCUACAAGGUGAGAUCUCAUGUCUGGAGCUUAAAGAGGUUGUAUAGUAGAAUCGAAGGCAUAAAAAGCAAGGCUCUAUUAGAGAGGACUCUGAUUUUAAACAAUGAUGCCUGUGGCAUCCUUUUUAAAAACUGGUUGUCGUAGCCACAUCAUAGCUCUUGUCCACAUACAUGCAAAAGAACUGACCUGUACCUUGUCAGUACAUACCCCAUGACCACCACCUGAUUUACUCCUCUUUCUGUGAGUAAGCAAAGGCCAUUUUAAAGAAAGGAAGGUGGAGGAAAAGGAAGAAGUACCAGGGCAGUGAAAGCGGCGGGUGUACGUGGGGACCCUCCUCCAACUUCAUGUGGUGGCAUGCAGUGUAGAGAGCUUCUUUCAGGGAGUGUGUAUGGAAAUAUGUUCCCAAAGAUCUGCAUAGCGUUAGUGUAACCAAGGGUUCCUUUCUGUGGCUUCUUGUUUUGGAAUUAAAUGCCUUCAGGGUACUCAGAAUAACUCUGUUUAGAAACUCAAGAAGAAUUUAACCUUUUAGGUGCCUCAUCAGAUUUUUUAAAAAUACAUAGAUUAAUGAGAAAGCAAACCGAUAGUGUCCUACUUUGUUUCUGAACAAUUUCACCCAAAAUUGAAAAUUGUGUACACACACAAAGUAGGUGAUUUAGUCAGGAAACAAAGGUACAUGCAGGAAUUCCGACCACUUAUAAUCAUCAAAAUUAUAAACUCGGUUUUGUUUGUUUAUAACCAGUUUUGAGAGACAAACCACUUUUACGGAUGG